CCGCCCCUCCCCUUGGGGGAAACGGGAGGUGUCACCGGAAGUGACGACACUGAGCACGGCCUUAAAAAGCAGUAGGCCGCUUUCCGCCGCUCUCUCGGCCUUAACGCCAUCUUCUUCGAGACUCCUGCGCCAUGAGAGCGAAGUGGAGGAAGAAGCGAAUGCGCAGGCUGAAGCGCAAGAGAAGAAAGAUGAGGCAGAGGUCCAAGUAAAGCGGCCUCGCUGGCCGAGGAGCAGAAGUGAGGGAUGCUGAAGGCCGGGACGGGAUGCUGGUACAAGCUGACGACUGUGCUGCUGCCGGCCUGAGGGUCCGUGCAGCCUCAUCACCGCCUGCUCCGCAGAGACACCGCCUCGGAGACGCGCCUGGCUUCCCCACGACCCCAGCAGCCCGGCUGGCCCUCGGCCUGGACCCGCGGCGUCCUGGACUCGUUCUGUUCUCUCUCUGGCCAAGUGUAGCCCGUGUACAAUAAACCAUCUUUCCCGCUGUUUCAGCUGAAGAAUCAAA